CUGCAGCUGCUGGGAGCGUCUCUUUUUAUCAAAAGGGUUUCGGUUGCACCUGCUGUCCACCUGUUGGGGAUUUGUCUGAUGAUCAGCUGCAGCUUUAUAAACCUCCUCCAUCAGUUGAUCCACGCUGAUGCAUCUUACCUUUAUGGUAGCAUCUAGCUCCUAGUUUCUAUGUUAAAGAAUAUAUUUUGUACUUACCUCAUUCAUCCUUUGUUCAAGGUGGAUUACCAUGAUCACAGAAGCCACACCUCAUGCUAAGAAGUCCUCACACCAAGUUGGGUCAGAAAACAAAGAACCUCACCACGGAACCCUCACAGCCACUGCCUGAAGAACUGCCACCUGCCUUUGAAAACCUCCUCCUCUGGAACUCCUCGCCUCUGGAAAAUCUCUGAUUUCCAAAACCAAACUCCACCUGUAAAUAAAACUGCACUUAUCUUUUAAUUAUUGUCUUGGUCUGGUCAUUCAGCUCUGCUGCUUUGUUGAACAAUAUCCCAUCCUUGUCAUAAACGUUUUCUUUAAAACUUUUGUGUAUUUGUUUAUAACACAGUUCUGACCGCAUUUCAAAAUCCAAUAGGAAUAAAUUAUUAAAAGUAAAAGCAUUGAUUGAAAA